CAUUUCGUGGCGCAGCGGCAGCGCACGUGGUGCGUGAACCGAGCGACCCGGGUUCGACGCCCGGCGGGCGGC